AGCGAACGCUGGCGGCAGGCCUAACACAUGCAAGUCGAACGAACUCUUCGGAGUUAGUGGCGGACGGGUGAGUAACACGUGGGAACGUGCCUAUAGGUUCGGCAUAACUCAGGGAAACUUGUGCUAAUACCGAAUGUGCCCUACGGGGGAAAGAUUUAUCGCCCUUAGAGCGGCCAUCGUCUGAUUAGCUAGUUGUGGCGGUAAUGGGUCACCAAGGCGACGAUCAGUAGCUGGUCUGAGAGGAUGAUCAGCCACAUUGGGACUGAGACACGGCCCAAACUCCUACGGGAGGCAGCAGUGGGGAAUCGUGCGCAAUGGGCGAAAGCCUGACGCAGCCAUGCCGCGUGAAUGAUGAAGGUCUUAGGAUUGUAAAAUUCUUUCACCGGGGACGAUAAUGACGGUACCCGGAGAAGAAGCCCCGGCUAACUUCGUG
rnacentral:rRNA from 1 species